rnacentral:rRNA from 1 species
UACGUAGGGUGCAAGCGUUAAUCGGAAUUACUGGGCGUAAAGCGUGCGCAGGCGGUUCGCUAAGACCGAUGUGAAAUCCCCCGGGCUUAAACCUGGGGAACUGCAUUGGUGACUGGCGGGCUAGAGGUAUGGCAGAGGGGGGUAGGAAUUCCACGUGUAGCAGUGAAAUGCGUAGAGAUGUGGAGGAAUACCGAUGGCGAAGGCAGCCCUCUGGGCCAAUACUGACGCUCAUGCACGAAAGCGUGGGGAGCAAACAGG